GACGAACGCUGGCGGCGUGCUUAACACAUGCAAGUCAAGGGGGCCCAGCAAUGGGCAACCGGCGAACGGGUGCGUAACACGUGAGCAACCUACCGAAAUGCGGGGGAUAGCCGGCCUAACGGCCGAGUAAUACCGCAUACGCUCUCGAUGAGGCAUUUCAUUGAGAGGAAACCUACGGGGUAUUUCGAGGGGCUCGCGGCCUAUCAGCUAGUUGGCGAGGUAACGGCUCACCAAGGCAACGACGGGUAGCUGGUCUGAGAGGAUGGCCAGCCACAUUGGGGACUGAGAUACGGCCCAGACUCCUACGGGAGGCAGCAGUGGGGAAUCUUGCGCAAUGGCCUAACGGCUGACGCAGCGACGCCGCGUGUGGGAUGAAGCUCUUCGGAGUGUAAACC
rnacentral:rRNA from 1 species